rnacentral:misc_RNA from 1 species
AUAUAAGGAAGUUAAAUUGCCACUAGAUUCACAAAACACAGCAGACUUAACAAGAGGGAAUUUUGAAUCUUUUUGGGGAGAGUUAAGAGUUGCUAUAAUUAGUGUAUAUAUAUGAUAUGGUUUUGCUGGUGAUCAUUGCUAAUUUCUCUGUAAUUAGUUUGGUUGAAGAAAGAAGUGAAGGGGCAAACCUUGAGUUCUUCAGAGAGGUUUGAAUGUGUUUGAGAGCUUA